GAUGAACGCUGGCGGCGUGCCUAAUACAUGCAAGUCGAACGCAUUUUCUUUCACCGUAGCUUGCUACACCGAGAGAAGAUGGGUGGCGAACGGGUGAGUAACACUUCGGUAACCUGCCCAUCAGCUGCGGGUAACCCUUGGUAACAGGUGCUAAUACCUCAUAAUUCAAUUUACCACAUGGUAAAUGGAUUAAAGUCGCUUUUGCGUCACUGAUGGAUGGGCCCGCGGUAGAUUGUCUGGUUGGGGAUGUAAAGGGCUACCAAGGGUGAGAAGCAUAGGCGACCUGAGAGGGUGGAUGGCCCCACCGGGAACGAGAAACGGCUCAGAACUCCUCGGGAGGCAGCAGUAGGGAAAUCUUGGCAAAGGACGCAAGGCUGACCGAGCCAAGCCGGGGGAGUGAAGAAGGGUUUCGGAUCGUAAAAAUCUUUUGUUAGAGAAGAACAAGGAGGGGAGUUGAAUGUGCACGUCUUGACGGUACCUAACCAGAAAGCCACGGCUAACUACGUG
rnacentral:rRNA from 1 species